GGGAAUCAGCCUGCCCCUCGGCCCCUGCACACUAGGCUUCUAGAGGGAGAAACUUCUAGGGCGCCAAGGGGCUUCCAAAGGGGCUGGACUUUUCCCUCUUGGCAUGGCCGUGGCCGCUCCUCUGGGCUGUGUGUCCCUGCCCGAGGUUCUACAUGGGGAACCCUGGUCAAGCCUGUCCUCGCUGAGGCCUCGUCUCCUCCUCGGUAAAACAAGGGGUUUAGUGCCAUCCAGUCUCCAAAAAUUCAGCUGCUUAAACUGCGGUCAAGGUCUCUGCCAAGCCCCUAUGAUGAAGCGUCUGCUUCUUCACCACCACCUCCGUCCCCUCCUUCUCCAUCGAAUGGAUGGCCCGGACCCUUCCAGAACUUGGGCUAAGACCUCCAAGGGCACCAACGAAGGUGGUCUACGGGAAGAGGAGGGGAAUCUGGGUCUGUUUCAGUCACUGCCUGCUGCCUCUGAGCUGCCCGCCCACCCCUGGCCUGCCUCCCACUGGUAGCGCUUCCCC
rnacentral:lncRNA from 1 species